rnacentral:rRNA from 1 species
GCCUAAUACAUGCAAGUAGAACGCUGAAGCUUGGUGCUUGCACCGAGCGGAUGAGUUGCGAACGGGAGAGUAACGCGUAGGUAACCUGCCUGGUAGCGGGGGAUAACUAUUGGAAACGAUAGCUAAUACCGCAUAAUAGUAGAUGUUGCAUGACAUUUGCUUAAAAGGUGCAAUUGCAUCACCACCAGAUGGACCUGCGUUGUAUUAGCUAGUUGGUGAGGUAACGGCUCACCAAGGCAACGAUACAUAGCCGACCUGAGAGGGUGAUCGGCCACACUGGGACUGAGACACGGCCCAGACUCCUACGGGAGGCAGCAGUAGGGAAUCUUCGGCAAUGGACGGAAGUCUGACCGAGCAACGCCGCGUGAGUGAAGAAGGUUUUCGGAUCGUAAAGCUCUGUUGUAAGAGAAGAACGAGUGUGAGAGUGGAAAGUUCACACUGUGACGGUAUCUUACCAGAAAGGGACGGCUAACUACGUGC